rnacentral:rRNA from 1 species
CCUACGGGAGGCUGCAGUGGGGAAUAUUGGACAAUGGGGGGAACCCUGAUCCAGCCAUGCCGCGUGUGUGAAGAAGGCCCUCGGGUUGUAAAGCACUUUCAGUGAGGAAGAACGCCUGGUGGUUAAUACCCAUCAGGAAAGACAUCACUCACAGAAGAAGCACCGGCUAACUCCGUGCCAGCAGCCGCGGUAAUACGGCGGGUGCGAGCGUUAAUCGGAAUUACUGGGCGUAAGCGCGCGUAGGUGGCUUGAUAAGCCGGUUGUGAAAGCCCCGGGCUCAACCUGGGAACGGCAUCCGGAACUGUCAAGCUAGAGUGCAGGAGAGGAAGGUAGAAUUCCCGGUGUAGCGGUGAAAUGCGUAGAGAUCGGGAGGAAUACCAGUGGCGAAGGCGGCCUUCUGGACUGACACUGACACUGAGGUGCGAAAGCGUGGGUAGCAAACAGGAUUAGAUACCCCAGUAGUC